UACAGGUGGUACCUAGUCCCCGCAAAACUCAAACAUAGCUACCCCGAUACAUCGGACACAUGUUGGAGAUGCCAAGCGCACCGAGGCACCCUACUACACAUAUGGUGGCAAUGCCCGCUACUACAACGAUACUGGUCACGAGUCGCGAACCUGGCUACAAAAUGUACCACGGUGCAGAUAACCCCCACACCAGAAACGUUCCUACUACUCUCACUCCCAC